UAUUGCACGACUUCCUGACUAAAAAUCCUAUGGUGACACGCAUCUCCGCCCGCACAUGUAUGUCUAGAUAUCACCGGUGUCUCUAACUUUCAGAAUGUUGUGCUUUGACGUGAGUUGUCCAAAGUAGAUCUCUCUCCCUGUCUCUAGUCUAUACCGACGAUAUCUCCUAAUACUGUUUUAAAGGAGGAGUUGCAGUUGGUUAUUGUUCAUGGCUUUGAGGCAAAUCACCUUGGAAGGUAUCAGUGGUUACAUCAAGGGUUAUCGAUGUUAUAGCUCAAAGUUGGACUGGAACAAGCUUAAGCCAAUGAUACUUGAAAGAAUAGAAAAAAAGGCUAAAGAAUAUCCAGUCAAUACUAUGCUUCCUGUUGCUGAAGAUGUUGUUAUUAACAGAGCACGUCUCUUCGAAGGUGUUUCCACUCUCCUCAGACAUUACCCUAUCAAGGCCUGUAAGUUUUGCCCUGAAUUGUACAUUGGCAAAGAAGGGCAUCUCAUUAAAACAUGCCAUGGCUACAGGCGUCUUAUUAAGAACCAAGUUCAUCACUGGGUUGAUGGUGCCCUUAAUGAUAUUCUUGUUCCUGUUGAGGCCUUUCAUAUGACCAAGUCGCCAGAUAUGAUUCAGCAUGAUCAGAGAUUCGAUUUUGAUCGCAUCCCUGCAGUGCUUGAGCUUUGUUCUCAGGCAGGCGCCGACAUCUUUGAUCAAACUCUACACUCCAUUGGUAAAGAUAGUUUUGCUUCUGAUGUGUCUACGUCGCGCCUAGAGCUUACUUAUAUGGCAGUUCAAACUUUAAAGGCAUGGGAGGAUAUGAGAGAAGGAGUACAGAAGUUGUUGAUGGUUUAUCCUGUUAAAGUUUGCAAGUUUUGUGAUGAAGUUCAUGUUGGACCAUAUGGGCAUAAGGCUACGCGCUGUGGGGUGUUCAAAGAUGAAACUUGUAGAGGAACCCAUUUUUGGACGACAGCACGUGUCAACGAUUUGGUUCCUCAGAAGAUUGUAUGGCGGCGGCGGAAUCAGGAUCCACUCGUACUAUUGGACAAGGGGCGGGAUUAUUAUGGGCAUGCUCCUGCAGUUGUUGAGCUAUGCAUUCAGGCUGGAGCACCUGCCCCAAAAAAGUAUUUGUGUAUGAUGAAAGCAAAGGGUUUGUCUCCGACCCUUCAUUAAUUUUGGGGUUGGCUCUCUGGUAGCACCAAAAAUUCUAUCCUUAAAACAGAAUCACAGAUUUCUUGAUUAGGAACUUCUUGAAGUCAGAGGUUUCUAAUUACCAUGGUCUUCAACUUUAUGGAGCUGAGUUAUUCAGGCAUGGAUUAGCGACUGAGUUUACCUCAGGAGGGUUCCCUGUGGGCCAUCAAUGCUUGCUCAAGGCGGCGCUUCAUCCAGUUCAGGAGACGAUGUGGAAAUUGCCAAAGGUUGGAACAAGCGUGAAUCUGUAGCUGCUUCAAGUCCUGGCCCUGGCAUGAGAAAUCACAAGGGAGGACCAGGAAAUGCUAUACUGGAAGCUAUGUUAGAGAGUUCUGCUACAAUGCCGAAAAGCGAAGAUCUGCUACAGACUAGAUCAACGUAUGUACUCUUUUUUGCUUUGACAUUCAAUGUAUCUGUAAAGUGUAAGAAGAAAGACAUGGCUGCAGGGUGUCCAGUAGUAGUAUUUGAAUUCUGAAGGCCUGAGUGGAGUACAGGACCAGCCCGACACCCCUAGGAAAUUCCUUUAAGGCCUCCUAUUGUCAGAGACAUCUUGCAUUUUUCCUCCUAAUAGUUAAUCUUGUAAGCUAAAAUUUUGUAUUCUUCAGUUAAUUAU